AAACGUGGUAAAAACGUGAUAAAAGCACAAAACAGUUAAAUAUUUAGCUAAUCAAAUUAAACCAAGAUAAUUUUCCAUUCAAAAAUUGUCUCUUUGUAGAAUUUAUAAGUCUGUUGAGUAUCCUCUCUCUCUCUCUCUCAUCAGCGGCGACCCGGUGGCGGUGGAACAUGAUGAGCCUGCGGGUGCGACCAAUAAGGCGGCUGUAGUACGGCUCCUCCGGCGCACGAUAGCACGGCUCUCCCACAGUAAUUUUGAGGGUCAGACAAGGUCAUCGACAACGUCACGCAGCCGGAGCCAAGCGGAUCCCACUGGUUGGUGUCGGGAUGGGCGGCGACGGACGUAGUAGUGCAGGUGGGUGAGAUAGGGGUUCGAUCUGGGAGAUAGGAAUGGUGCAGAUGGGUGGACGUGUGGGAAACUGGGAAUGAUGAGGUGUCUUGGGCCUGAACCUUAUGGCCUCCGGUUCUUCUAGUUUUUUCAUAAUUAAAUAUAAUAGAGAUUACUUAAAAAAUUAUUCAAAAAAAGAAAUAUAUAUAUAUAUAUAUUUGAUAAAUUAAAAGUGAUCAUAUAUAGCAUAUAGCAUUUUAAUUCAAAUGUAUAUAAAGAUUAUCUGCAAAAUUAAUAAUACUGAAACUAAAAAUUGAUGAAUUUGAUAAAGAAUUGAACAUUUACCGCAUAGCAAAUGAAUUUUGUAAACGCUUUGCUCUUUUCUCGGAAUAAAUAAAGGAUAUGGACAAAAUCGAUAAAACGGAAGAAAUUCUUACUCAUAAAAUAAUUGCUUAAGAAAAUUAGACCACGUUUAAAAUUUUAAAAAAUCAGCCGUAUGAUGUGAUAGUUAUAGUGAAAUACGGUCAUGGUAGAAAAAUUAAAUAUUUUCGAUAACAUUUUAGCCUCGAUAAGGCGGUCAACUCUAUUUACGCUUAUUCUUUUUUAUGGAGAGCCCUAUCAUCAUGAGGUAAACUUU
rnacentral:lncRNA from 1 species